AUCUUUAGGGUGUCCCAA
rnacentral:misc_RNA from 1 species